AUCAGAGAGAGGUGCUGUGAACACACAGCCAUUUUCUUAGCAGCUUUUUUGACUGUAUGUUACCAUAGUCCCACAAGGCAUUGGUCCUUUCCCAUUGGGAAGUCAUGAAUAAGAGACUAUGAAGCUUGCACGUCAGAUCUUCCUCAAUUAAUCCACCAUUAGCAUGUUUGGGAUCCACUACUGGAUGGCUAACAGCAGCUUUUGUAACUCUCGCAUCAGCUGAAGGCUACCGCCUGGGACUCCUCGGAAGCGUGAGCAAGCCGCCACCACGCGAAGGCACUGGGGCACAGCCAGCGCAAGGCACCGAGGUCCCUUCCCAGGGCUUGUUAACACUGUAACCCGGCAGUCCGAGGGAAGCAGCUCCCACUGCCCAGAGCUACCUCACUGCUCAUCAGAUGACUCUGGCUUCUACACACAGUUGGAGUUCCGCUUGAAACCUGGAUUUAGAGGGGCUCUCUCGCUGCCAUGACACUCAAUCAAAGCACCUAGAGUGGGCUGGCCGAUACCAGAGGGGGUACCAAGCAGAGCAAGGACAGAGAAAAGCACUGGGAGAACACCAGAACUGGAAAUAGAGCAGCCAUUUGGAUUUGGGCAGGAAGCAGCCGUGCACAGCUUUGGAUCCUUCUUUAGGGAAAUCGAGUUAUGGAUUUAUGGUCCCGGUCAAGCUCAGCCCAGCCCCAGCCAGGGGCGGGCUCAGCAGCAAGAGUUCUGGUGGCGGCGGCGGCGGCAGUAGCGGCGGCAGCGGUAGCAGCGGCAGCAGCAGCUUGGUCCUCUGACUCUCUUCGGUGACGGGUAUUCUUGGGUGGAUAAUACGGAUUACGUUGUUAUUGCUUAAGAAUACGCGUAGUCGAGGAGAGUACCAGCGGCAGGCGGGCAGCGGCCGCCCCUCCCAGCCCACCAGCUGGCCUGUAAACGCCUGUGGUUGCCAAGGUAGCACUUUUUUGAUCUUUUCCUUUCCUCGGUGUUUUCGCUCCGGGUCGCGUGUUAGGUGAUUACAAGACACAUCCCACCAGAAAGGCAGUGCGCGCCGCGCCUCUGGUGACCCUGGCUGUAGAAUGGGUGCGUGUCGGAGGGCUGCAGUCGAGGCGGAGGGGAGGGGCGGGGAAAGGAUGGGGUUCUGUUCCAAGAAGCCUGCGGGGAGUUUCGGGGUCCCUGGCCUUCUAGUCUUCUCGUCUCCUUUCCCCCGUGGGCUCCGGCUGCAGGGAACGACAUGGACUGGGCGAAUCUCGAAAGUUGGGAGUGAUUGAAAGGCCUUGAGCAGUUUGGCAGCGCUGCGAGUGAGGAACUGGCGCUCAGCAGAGGGUCGCUGGGGGCUGCCUGCGCAGAAAGGGCGUGUCCGUGGGCGAAGGUGCCCCCGCAAGCAAGCUGCGGAAGCUUGUGACUUCGCGAAUCCCGG
ensembl:lncRNA